AUACGUAGGGGGCGAGCGUUGUCCGGAAUGAUUGGGCGUAAAGGGCGCGUAGGCGGCUUUGCAAGUCAGUAGUGGAAGUCCAUUUUUCAAGGAUGGAAGUGCUACAGAAACUGCGGAGCUUGAGUGCAGGAGAGGUUAUCGGAAUUCCCGGUGUAGCGGUGAAAUGCGUAGAGAUCGGGAGGAACACCAGUGGCGUAGACGGGUAACUGGACUGCAACGGACACUGAGUCGCGUGAGUGUGUAGAGCAAACUGUAAUAUAUACCCGAGUAGUCCACGUCGUAAACGAUGAAUGCUAGGUGUAGGAGGUAUCGAGCCCUUCUGUGCUUUAGUAAACACAAUAAGCAUUCCGCCUGGGGAGUACGGUCUUAAGGUUGAAGCUCAAAUGAAUUGACUGGG
rnacentral:rRNA from 1 species